rnacentral:misc_RNA from 1 species
CUGAGUGUUUUGAGUCUGACUCAAAUCCUCCCACCCUUUGUUUAAAUGACCUGUUGCUUCGGUGAGACUGACUGUCAAAAGUCGGUCGACUGAUUCUAAAUCAGUGGGCUUGUUUUGCUCACCGAAGUUUUUUUUACAACUCUUUUAUUUUCAGAUAUUUGAGAAAACAAAAACAAAAAAAAUCA